UGUCAUCAAAGUGGAGGUACUCAAUGGCUUGUUAGAAAUUGGAUGCAAAGAAAGAAAAAGAAAAAGACAGUUCAAUUUCAGAAGCCCAGAUAAAAGAAGUCUUAAAGACAGAGGAAGUGAUCGUCUGAGGCAAAUGCCACCAAGAGAUCAAACAGGACCACAGUGCAUUUCUUUCAGCAAUGACAGCGACAGGUGCCUGAACUCCUAGCCUGAUGCAUCUUUCCUGGACUUCUUGCAAAUGUAAAUGUACCAGUCCACGGUAGGUCCUACCCAGCACCCGUCGCCAGCAGAUCUGCACACUUAACCCGAGACCAGACCCAAUGCAUCCCACCCCUCGGCUCUCCACUUCGGACGCACACCCGGAGCAGACCCGCCAGCCCAGGCUUGGAACUGGAAGCACCCAAGGCCAGCAGCGACCGCAGACGCGGCCUUAAAACAAAAGAGGC